rnacentral:snRNA from 1 species
AUCCCUUCUAGGUCUUUUGGCUAAGAUCAAGUGUAGAAUCUGCUUUUAUCAGUUUAAUAUCUGGUACUUCCUCUAUCCCAGGACAAUAUAUUAAGUGGAUUUUUGGAGCAGGGAGAUGG